UCUCCACUGACAAAUGCCUUCAAUCCAAAUAAAUAUGGUAAAAUUCAGGUUGUAUUAAAUUACAGAAAAUAUUACCACAAAACUUGGGGAUAUUUGACUUUCUUUGCAUUAAAAAGAAAAUUUAUCAGCAUCCAAACAAAGGAUCAUAUGUAGGAAUAUACGCCCAUCCGGUCUCUGUUAUAGACCAUAACUCACAUCCUAUCUGGAGUUCCAGUCUCACAAUUACUCAUUGAAAAUCUUAAAAACCCACCUCAUAAAAUAUGCAUUUCUAGGAUCCCUAUAUUGAAUUCCACUUGCUCAUAGCCAAGGCAUCAAAAUUUCAAAUGAAAGAAACAGAACAAAUUUGCAUACAAUUUUUCGGUUUAUAUUCUGCAAAUUUGUUUGAUGAAAUCAAGAAGAUUGGUGGGUAAUGCUCAUCAACGUCAUAUACAAUACACUCGAAUGCAUAAAAAUCUAAUAAAUAAAUGAAAAAGUUGAAAAACAAGACAAGGAAAUGAAAGAAAAGAACCUAACCAAUUCCACCUGCCGAUCUUGAA
rnacentral:misc_RNA from 1 species